UUUUGGCCAUCCUGAAGCAUACAUUCUAAUUCUACCCGGCUUUGGAAUAAUUUCACAUAUCGUUACUUACUAUUCGGGGAAAAAAGAACCUUUCGGGUAUAUGGGAAUAAUUUCACACAUCAUU